rnacentral:rRNA from 1 species
AGUGGAAAACGAUGUGAAGUUACUUAAACAACCAGGAGGUUGGCUUAGAAGCAGCCAUCCUUUAAAGAAAGCGUAAUAGCUCACUGGUCUAGUGAUUUUGCGCGGAAAAUAUAACGGGGCUAAAGUAAGUACCGAAGCUGUAGACUUAGUUUACUAAGUGGUAGGAGAGCGUUCUAUUUGCGUCGAAGGUAUACCGGUAAGGAGUGCUGGAGCGAAUAGAAGUGAGCAUGCAGGCAUGAGUAGCGAUAAUUAAUGUGAGAAUCAUUAACGCCGUAAACCCAAGGUUUCCUACGCGAUGCUCGUCAUCGUAGGGUUAGUCGGGUCCUAAGUCGAGUCCGAAAGGGGUAGACGAUGGCAAAUUGGUUAAUAUUCCAAUACCAACAUUAGUGUGCGAUGGAAGGACGCUUAGGGCUAAGGGGGCUAGCGGAUGGAAGUGCUAGUCUAAGGUCGUAGGAGGUUGUACAGGCAAAUCCGUAUAACAAUACUCCGAGAACUGAAAGGCUUUUUGAAGUCUUCGGAUGGAUAGAAGAACCCCUGAUGCCGUCGAGCCAAGAAAAGUUUCUAAGUUUAGCUAAUGUUGCCCGUACCGUAAACCGACACAGGUGGGUGGGAUGAGUAUUCUAAGGCGCGUGGAAGAACUCUCUUUAAGGAACUCUGCAAAAUAGCACCGUAUCUUCGGUAUAAGGUGUGGUUAGCUUUGUAUUAGGAUUUACUCCGAAAGCAAGGAAACUUACAACAAAGAGUCCCUCCCGACUGUUUACCAAAAACACAGCACUCUGCUAACUCGUAAGAGGAUGUAUAGGGUGUGACGCCUGCCCGGUGCUCGAAGGUUAAUUGAUGGGGUUAGCAUUAGCGAAGCUCUUGAUCGAAGCCCGAGUAAACGGCGGCCGUAACUAUAACGGUCCUAAGGUAGCGAAAUUCCUUGUCGGUUAAAUACCGACCUGCAUGAAUGGCGUAACGAGAUGGGAGCUGUCUCAAAGAGGGAUCCAGUGAAAUUGUAGUGGAGGUGAAAAUUCCUCCUACCCGCGGCAAGACGGAAAGACCCCGUGGACCUUUACUACAGCUUGACACUGCUACUUGGAUAAGAAUGUGCAGGAUAGGUGGGAGGCUUUGAGUAUAUGACGCCAGUUGUAUAUGAGCCAUUGUUGAGAUACCACUCUUUCUUAUUUGGGUAGCUAACCAGCUUGAGUUAUCCUCAAGUGGGACAAUGUCUGGUGGGUAGUUUGACUGGGGCGGUCGCCUCCCAAAUAAUAACGGAGGCUUACAAAGGUUGGCUCAGAACGGUUGGAAAUCGUUCGUAGAGUAUAAAGGUAUAAGCCAGCUUAACUGCAAGACAUACAAGUCAAGCAGAGACGAAAGUCGGUCUUAGUGAUCCGGUGGUUCUGUGUGGAAGGGCCAUCGCUCAAAGGAUAAAAGGUACCCCGGGGAUAACAGGCUGAUCUCCCCCAAGAGCUCACAUCGACGGGGAGGUUUGGCACCUCGAUGUCGGCUCAUCGCAUCCUGGGGCUGGAGCAGGUCCCAAGGGUAUGGCUGUUCGCCAUUUAAAGCGGUACGCGAGCUGGGUUCAGAACGUCGUGAGACAGUUCGGUCCCUAUCUGCCGUGGGCGUAAGAAGAUUGAAGAGAUUUGACCCUAGUACGAGAGGACCGGGUUGAACAAACCACUGGUGUAGCUGUUGUUCUGCCAAGAGCAUCGCAGCGUAGCUAAGUUUGGAAAGGAUAAACGCUGAAAGCAUCUAAGCGUGAAGCCAACUCUAAGAUGAAUCUUCUCUAAGCUCUCUAGAAGACUACUAGUUUGAUAGGCUGGGUGUGUAAUGGAUGAAAGUCCUUUAGCUGACCAGUACUAAUAGAGCGUUUGGCUUAUCUUU